UCAGGUGGCCGCAGAGAAUAGGCCCAAGCGACUGUUUACCAAAAACAUAGGUUUCUGCUAAGUCGCAAGACGAUGUAUAGGAGCUGACGCCUGCCCGGUGCUGGAAGGUUAAGGGGAUCUGUUAGAGCAAUCGAAGCAGUGAACUUAAGCCCCAGUAAACGGCGGCCGUAACUAUAACGGUCCUAAGGUAGCGAAAUUCCUUGUCGGGUAAGUUCCGACCCGCACGAAAGGCGUAACGAUUUGGGCACUGUCUCAACAACAGACUCGGUGAAAUUGUAAUUCCGGUGAAGAUGCCGGAUACCUGCGACAGGACGGAAAGACCCCAUGGAGCUUUACUGUAGCUUGACAUUGGGUCUUGGUACUACAUGUACAGGAUAGGUGGGAGGCUUUGAAACCAGGACGCCAGUUUUGGCGGAGCCAUCCUUGGGAUACCACCCUUGUAGUACUGGGACUCUAACCAUAGGCCAUGAAUCUGGUCUUGGGACACUGUCAGGUGGGCAGUUUGACUGGGGCGGUCGCCUCCCAAAAGGUAACGGAGGCGCUCAAAGGUUCUCUCAGUACGGUCGGAAAUCGUACGUAGAGUGUAAAGGCAAAAGAGAGCUUGAUUGCAAGACAUACAGGUCGAGCAAGGAUGAAAAUCGGACUUAGUGAUCCGGUGGUUCUGCGUGGAAGGGCCAUCGCUCAACGGAUAAAAGCUACCCUGGGGAUAACAGGCUUAUCU
rnacentral:rRNA from 1 species